GCGGUGCCAAAGAACGGCAGAUACUUGCUUAACCCCGCCAGGGCCGAAAGGCAGCAACGGUCGGUGAGUUCCUCUGGGUGUUCUGCGGCGCCAUUUU
rnacentral:SRP_RNA from 1 species